AUGCUAACAACUCAUCAUGACAAUCACCAAGGAAGCAGAACCUAAUGGAAAAACCCCAAGCUGGCAUCUAGGAGCCCAAGUUCUGGACCCAGAAUAGAUUCUACAGAGCAAUGGCCAGGCCUGAUACCACUUUCUUUACCACAAUGUGCUUGAGUACAAAAUAAUGGGGGACAAUCCUUCGGAAUGUGUGCCCUCCAUGUAUCUCCUGCAAGGAUUGAGUGAUGACCACUUUCAGAAGCAGGAAGCCUAGGAAUCAGGCCUUAACCCAUCAACAUGGACUUUCAGCCUCGAAACCACAGGGAAAAGAAACACACAUCACACAAGUUGUUCAUGUAGUGGCCUCACGGCUCAAGGGGUGCAGGUUCACCAAGGAGACUGUCAAACUACA